rnacentral:rRNA from 1 species
UACGUAGGGUGCAAGCGUUAAUCGGAAUUACUGGGCGUAAAGCGUGCGCAGGCGGUUGUGUAAGUCAGAUGUGAAAUCCCCGGGCUCAACCUGGGAACUGCAUUUGUGACUGCACAGCUGGAGUGCGGCAGAGGGGGAUGGAAUUCCGCGUGUAGCAGUGAAAUGCGUAGAUAUGCGGAGGAACACCGAUGGCGAAGGCAAUCCCCUGGGCCUGCACUGACGCUGAUGCACGAAAGCGUGGGGAGCAAACAGG